rnacentral:rRNA from 1 species
ACGGUCCUAAGGUAGCGAAAUUCCUUGUCGGGUAAGUUCCGACCCGCACGAAAGGCGUAAUGAUUUGAGCACUGUCUCGACAAUGCAUCCGGUGAAAUUGAAGUACCAGUGAAGAUGCUGGUUACCCGCGCCAGGACGGAAAGACCCCAUGGAGCUUUACUCCAGUUUGAUACUGGGAUUCGGUACUGCAUGUACAGGAUAGGUGGGAGACGAAGAAGGAUGGACGCCAGUCUGUCCGGAGUCGCUGUUGGGAUACCACCCCUGUAGUACUGGGUUUCUAACCAGUUGCCAUGAACUGGCAAUGGGACAAUGUCAGGCGGGGAGUUUGACUGGGGCGGUCGCCUCCGAAAGGGUAUCGGAGGCGCUCAAAGGUUCCCUCAGAAUGGUUGGAAACCAUUUGAAGAGUGCAAAGGCAGAAGGGAGCUUGACUGCGACACCGACGGGUGGAGCAGGUACGAAAGUAGGACUUAGUGAUCCGGUGGUAUAAAGUGGGAUUGCCAUCGCUCAACGGAUAAAAGCUACCCUGGGGAUAACAGGCUUAUCACUCCCAAGAGUUCACAUCGACGGAGUGGUUUGGCACCUCGAUGUCGGCUCAUCGCAUCCUGGGGCUGUAGCAGGUCCCAAGGGUUGGGCUGUUCGCCCAUUAAAGCGGUACGCGAGCUGGGUUCAGAACGUCGUGAGACAGUUCGGUCCCUAUCCGGCGCGGGCGGAGGAUAUUUGAGAGGAGCUGUCCUUAGUACGAGAGGACCGGGAUGGACGGACCACUGGUGUAUCUGUUGUCGACCAACGGCAUGGCAGAGUAGCCAAGUCUGGAAGGGAUAAACGCUGAAGGCAUCUAAGCGUGAAGCCCCCCUCAAGAUGAGAUAUCCCUCCUUCGGGAGUAAGACCCCUUGAAGACUACAAGGUAGAUAGGGCAGAGGUGGAAGCAUGGCAACAUGUGGAGCUGACUGUUACUAAUAGGUCGAGGGCUUAAUCUG